rnacentral:lncRNA from 1 species
GGAGAUCAGUCAGAGAAUUAAAGGACUGCAAAAAAGUUCAGGUAAGUAAUAAUAAAGCUUUGGCAGAAGCUAGCAGCCAUAUAUAUAUGGCUUUUAAGACUUUGUUGUUGUAUCCUUCUGUUGAAUAAUUUGGAACUCUGUAUGUCCAAUAUGCUUCUGAUAUGGUUCUUGCACCAUCAAUAAACUCAGCAAUGUUGAUUAUCUUACAAUCUCUUGUCGAAAACUCGAAAACCCUUAUUUCUGAAUCCGAAACAUAGACACAAAUGAAGAACAAACAAGAAAAACUGACAUUACAUUGAACAUAACAACACAUUCUUCUUCCCAGUUGCUUUAGUAUGAUUCUUCAGACUGUUUCCAUCCUCCGAAG